rnacentral:rRNA from 1 species
AGCGAACGCUGGCGGCAGGCCUAACACAUGCAAGUCGAACGAACCUUUCGGGGUUAGUGGCGGACGGGUGGGUAACACGUGGGAACGUGCCUUUAGGUUCGGAAUAACUCAGGGAAACUUGUGCUAAUACCGAAUGUGCCCUCCGGGGGUAAGAUUUAUCGUCUUUCGAGCGGCCCGCGUCUGAUUAGCUAGUUGGUGGAGGUAAUGGCUCACAAAAGCGACGAUCAGUGGCUUGUCUGAGAGGAGGGCCAGCCACAUUGGGACUGAGACACGGCCCACACUCCUGCGGGAGGAAGCAGUGGGGUAUCUUGCGGGAUCGGCGGACGCAUGACGCAGCCCUGUGGCGUGAAUGAUGAAGGUCGUAGUAUUGUAAAAUUCUUUUACCGGGGAAGAUAAUGACGGUACCCGGAGAAGAAGCCCCGGCUAACUACGUG